GACGAACGCUGGCGGCGUGCUUAACACAUGCAAGUCGAACGGAAAGGCCCUGCUUGCGGGGUGUGCUCGAGGGGCGAACGGGUGUGUCACACGUGAGUAAUCUGCCCUAGACUUUGGUAUGACUGCAGGAAACUGGCUCUUAUACCGGAGAGGAGUUCCGGCGGCAGGGUGGGGGUUGGAAUGUUUCGGCGGGUGGGGAUGGACCCGCCGCUUAUCAGGUUGUUGGUGGGGUAGUGUCUUACGAAGGCGUUGACGGGUCGCCGGCCUGGGAGGGUGCACGGCCAGAUUGGGACUGGGAUCCGGCCCAUACUCCUACGGGAGGCAGCAGUGAGGAAUAUUGCGCAAUGGGCGGAAGCCUGCUGCAGCACCGCCGCGUGCGGGAUGACGGCCUUCGAGUUGUAUUCCGCUUACGCCUGUGACGAAGCGUGAGUGACGGUAGUGGGUAAAGAAGCACCGGCUAACUACGUG
rnacentral:rRNA from 1 species